GUCUGGAAGAGGAAGAAAAGAGGGUCUAAGUGUGGUGGUCAUGGAAACAUGGAGGCAAGCUAAAAAUCAUGGCUCUAGAAAUAGACCCUUUUUUCCGAUGCCUUCCACGCCUAUUGUUCUCAGGUGCUCCUUCCUCUUCCUUUGGACA
rnacentral:pre_miRNA from 1 species